rnacentral:rRNA from 1 species
GAUGAACGCUGGCGGCGUGCCUAAUACAUGCAAGUCGAGCGAACAGACGAGGAGCUUGCUCCUCUGACGUUAGCGGCGGACGGAUGCGUACCACGUGGAUAACCUACCUAUACGACUGGGAUAACUUCAGCAAACCGGAGCUACUACCGGAUAAUAUAUUGAACCGCAUGGUUCAAUAGUGAAAGACGGUUUUGCUGUCACUUAUAGAUUGAUCCGCCCCGCAUUAGUUAGUUGGUAAGGUAACGGCUUACCAAGGCGACGAUGCGUAGCCGACCUGAGAGGGUGAUCGGCCACACUGGAACUGAGACACGGUCCAGACUCCGACGGGAGGCAGCAGUAGGGAAUCUUCCGCAAUGGGCGAAAGCCUGACGGAGCAACGCCGCGUGAGUGAUGAAGGUCUUCGGAUCGUAAAACUCUGUUAGUAGGGAAGAACAAAUGUGUAAGUAACUAUGCACGUCUUGACGGUACCUAAUCAGAAAGCCACGGCUAACUACGUG